rnacentral:rRNA from 1 species
AAUUGAAGGCUGGUAUGAAUGGUUUGACGAGAAAUAGGCUUUCUUAAUUUGAAUUUUAUGAAUUUGAUUUUUUAGUCAAAAAGCUUAAAUUUUUUUGCAAGACGAGAAGACCCUAUAGAAUUUUAUAUUUUGAUUCUGGCUUUUUUAUUUGGUUUAUAAUCAUUAUUUUGGAGUUAAAUUAUUUUGUUGGGGCGAUAGUGAAAAUUGUAUAACUUUCAUUUAUUUUUAUCAUUGAUUAAUGUAUUUUUUGAC